GAACUUCCGGUUGGGGGGAGGGGUGUGGUGGGGGUGUUUAUGACUGCACUUCCGGUUGGUGUUGUUAUGUCAUGUAUAAUGUCUGCGUUGCGCCUGUAGGGGUCGCAGGGUGCAGGGAUCUGUAAGGGCCUAGUGUGCACUUAGGGGGCUUGUGAGAUUGUAUUGUGGGUGUGUACCUCAAAUAGUUUAAAAGGGGUGAGACGCCUGCUGUAGGGUCAUAGCAUUCAGCAGAUUGUCGUCAGUGUUCUUUUCGUUCAAACAUGGACUGCUCAUCAGAAGAUACCCAAGGAUCAAACAGCGCUAACUGGAUGUAUAGGGACCCUCGCACCCUGUCGCCCCUGUCUUCUCCCGCCAAGGACUACUCGGCAUCGAGCAUUGUGGACGGUGAAAGCCAGUUGUCUGAGGCGCAGGACAAUGAUGAACAUGUACAAAGUGGGGGCGUGGCUAUGGAGGCUGGUGAUUUAAAGGCCGUACAACCCGUACACCACUGGCUUCAGGAGUAUGCUGUCUAUCUGGCCGGAUUGAAUCUGUCCUUCCUACAAAUCGGAGAGGACAGUGAGCUGGAGGUGGACACUGCUAUGAGAGAUGACGGAUGGCCUGUAUCAACACAGAUCCAUUUAAACCCUGCGGCGCUGGGUGUUCUGCGAUUUACCACUGGUAUCUGCGUGGCAGCCAUCAUCACACAUCAGAAGCAAGCGGACUGCUGGGGGUGCCAAAGUGAUUGCCCAAGUCAACGACGCCAUUGCUGCAUGCAAGGAUCGACACAUCAUCACUAUGAAUCCCAUUACGAUACCAUAUGUCAUAUAUUGGAUAGACCCCCAUUCCUGCUACUUUUAGAAACUGUUUUAAAGAAGACUAUAGGGUUGACUGUGUCCCCAGGAAAAAUCUAUGGUGUGGUCGAUUCUUUUCUAUGUGAUUUAUUGGGCAACACCUAUGAUACCGAAAAACUGGAUUUAAUAACCAGCGAAGGGGUGCCCGAUGAACAGCUGCUUUUGAUAUAUGAAGCCACACAAAUGUGGCGUAAUACAUUGUCAUUCGGUAACACAAGGCCUGGUGUCAAGCGUCGUUUAUAAUGGGGGUGUUGUUUUCUUAUGCAUAUGAUGCGGAUAGCAAGUAUGUAUCAGAUAGACUAGCCGUUUUGAUGUAUGCUGCCAUAGAAAAUGAUACGUUUGUCCAACAUAAUGCUUAUAUCAAAUGUAUGUAUAAGGAUUGGAAUGAUUUGGUCAUGAAAUUCUUGUAUGAUAAACCUACUGAUCAAAUGAUAGCUGAAAUAUUUACCCAUUUCCCCGAUGGGGACUGUUUUACCGUCGGACAUGUCAUGUGUAUAUGUGCUUUUGUAUCGGAUGUCUUGAAGUUGAAUAAUCCCUCAAACGCAGAGGGUAUUAGAACUGCUCGCAUGAUGUCUUGUAAAAUGGUGCAGAGAAAUAAAACUGCCUGUAAAAUAUAUCUGCGCAUUGUAUCGAGGGGCCAGACAUUUUAAAUAAAAGGAUGGAUAACUCUG
ensembl:lncRNA